UCGAUCCCACAGAGACUGGUGAAUUAAGAAUACGCACCUAUGCAACAAUGUAUGAUCAAUUUUCACUGCCAAGACAAUUAACAAGGAUGGGUUCUUUUAUACUAAUAACUAAAUUUACUAAUCAAAUUCAGAAUAGGAUAACACAUGGGAUUCUAACUUCAUUAUCGAAUUCAUCUAGAAUUGAAAUUACUGAUUAACAUGCGACUGUUGAUCCUAAUCAGACAACACGAAAGUAAU
rnacentral:lncRNA from 1 species